GCCCUAGUAGCUUAAACCCAAAGCACCGGUCUUGUAAACCGAAGACUGGAGGUGAAACUCCCCCCUAGGGCC
rnacentral:tRNA from 1 species